AGCCUUAGGAAAAAAUCUAAGGUUAAACCUGCCCAAUGUAUAUAAAUGAAUGGCCGCGGUACUUUGACCGUGCUAAGGUAGCGUAAUCAGUUGGCUUUUAAUUGGGGUCAGGAAUGAAUGGAAUUUCGUAUUUUAGCUGUCUCCUAAAUAAUUAUUCGAAGUUACCAUGUAGGUGAAAAGGCCUAUUGAAAGAAAAAAGACGAGAAGACCCUUAGAGUUUUACUAAAAAUAACUGAUAAGUAGUUAUUUCAGUUUAGUUGGGGCAACAUAGGAAAAUUAGUUUAGUGAUAACUUCCAUAAUUAUACAAACCGACUAUUUUAAAUCUGGAUAAACUACCUGAGGGAUAACAGCAUAAUUUAAUAAAUAAGUUUGUGACCUCGAUGUUGGACUGGGAAGCUAGAAGGCUAGCCGUUUUCUAGUCUGGUUCUGUUCGAACUUUUAAGUUCCC
rnacentral:rRNA from 1 species